rnacentral:rRNA from 1 species
AUGGAGGCAGCAGUGGGGAAUCUUGGACAAUGGGGGCAACCCUGAUCCAGCCAUGCCGCGUGAGUGACGAAGGCCUUCGGGUUGUAAAGCUCUUUCGCCCACGACGAUGAUGACGGUAGUGGGAGAAGAAGCCCCGGCUAACUCCGUGCCAGCAGCCGCGGUAAUACGGAGGGGGCUAGCGUUGUUCGGAAUCACUGGGCGUAAAGCGCACGUAGGCGGCGUGUUUAGUCAGGGGUGAAAGGCCUGGGCUCAACCCGGGAACUGCCUUUGAUACUGGCACGCUUGAGUCCGAGAGGGGGUGGUGGAACUCCCAGUGUAGAGGUGAAAUUCGUAGAUAUUGGGAAGAACACCGGUGGCGAAGGCGACCACCUGGCUCGGAACUGACGCUGAGGUGCGAAAGCGUGGGGAGCAAACAGGAUUAGAUACCCCGGU